rnacentral:rRNA from 1 species
AUGCACGGCGGUGAGUGGCCAGCAAGCCCCGCACAAACCACUGAUCUCCCGGCUCGCCAAGGACCCCAACACCUCCCUCUACACCAUCACCGUCAAGGCCGACAAGUCGCCGCUCCUCCUAGACCUUGCCGGCUCGCUCGUCUGGUCGACGUGCCCGCCCUCGUCGGUGCACGGCACUGUGGCAUGCGGGUCCAGUAA